CUGGUGUGUAAUUGGCAGUAACUGUGGCCUUCUGGGUCACACACACACACACACACACACACUGCCUUAGGAGAGCAGCAGCUGAAAACCUGAUUGAUAUUGAACUGCCAGCAGACAGACUCACAGCAAAGAACUAAGAAUGAUGCUGAAUCUGUUGGAUGUGCAAAAUAGUCCCAUGUUGAGCUGCAAGAAAAAUCCAUCAUGUUCCUUUGACUUCUGAAACCCCCACCGUUCACUUCUCCUGUGUCAGAUGCCAGAAGGCCGGGGACAGUUGAUGAUUCAUUGCUUUCGCUGAUUCUGCACACAGAACACUAAGGGGUUUCUAUUCCCACCUGUCCCAGGUACAUUCUUUCUUUUAAACUGAAGUGCAUUUACUUCUUGUAGGACAAACAGUCACCGUGAAGAGAAUCACUCUAUAUAAUAUGCAUUGGCAACAACUAUUAUAAUUCUGUAUUCUGUGCUUU